UACUAAGGGUGUCUGGUGGAUGCCUAGGUAUGGAGAAGCGAUGAAGGACGUGGGGUAGCUGCGAUAAGCUUCGGUAAGGUGCUAACCAACCUUUGACCCGGAGAUUUCCGAAUGGAGCAAUCCGAGAGCGGUCAUGCGCUCUCAACCCGGAGUGAAUGCAUAGUUCCGGGUGGCGAACGUGGGGAACUGAAACAUCUCAGUACCCACAGGAACAGAAAGAAACCUCGAUUUCCCAAGUAGCGGCGAGCGAACGGGAAAUAGCCCAAACCGUGUGUCCCGAACGGCUGCAACGCUUAUGUGCACACGGGGUUGUGGGACGACCAUGAGGAGGUUGUGAUCCUCAUAGAAGUUAUCAAGCACAGAUUUAGACGAAGCCUCUGGAAAGUGGCGCCAAAGAUGGUGAAAGCCCAGUAGUUGAAAAGUUUGUGCCUUCUAGGUCAGAUCCCGAGUAAUGUCGGACACGUGAAACCCGGCAUGAAUCCGGGGGGCCCACCCCCCAAGGCUAAAUAUUCCUCCAUGACCGAUAGCGCAAAGUAGCGUGAGUGAAAGGUGAAAAGAACCCCUGUUAGGGGAGUGAAAUAGAACCUGAAACCAGAUACCUACAAGCGGCGAGAGGGCUAUGUUUACAUGCCUGAUCGCGUGCCUUUUGUAUAAUGACCCGGCGAGUUAAAGUCGUUUGCUUGGUUAAGUCCUUCCGGGACGUAGCCCCAGCGAAAGCGAGUGUGAAUAGCGCGCUGUCUUCGGACAGGUAAGCGGCUUUAGACGCGAAAACAGGUGAUCUAUCCAUGAGCAGGUUGAAACGGGGGUAAAACCCUGUGGAGGACCGAACGCACUUAUGUUGAAAAAUGAGGCGAUGACUUGUGGAUAGGAGUGAAAGUCUAAUCAAACCUGUAGAUAUCUCGUUCUCCCCGAAAUAGCUUUAGGGCUAGCCUCAAGUUAUUGCAUGAGCAGGGGUAGAGAGACUGAUUGGGUUUGGGGGGCCACCAGCCUACCCUACCCAGCCAAACUCCGAAUACUGCUAUGUGAACCUUGGGAGUUAGACCAUGGGGGAUAAGCUCCAUGGUCGAGAGGGAAACAGCCCAGACCGUCUGUUAAGGUCCCCAAAAUAUGCUAAGUGCUUAAGGAAGUGAAAUUGCAGAGACAGCCAGGAUGUUGGCUUAGAAGCAGCCACCAUUUAAAAAGUGCGUAAUAGCUUACCGAUCGAGCAUUUUUGCACCGAUAAUGACCGGGAGUAAGUGUGGUGCCGAAGCAGCGGACGCCUUCGGGCGUGGUAGAAGAGCGUUCCACAUCAGAUACGAGCCAUACCGGAAGGAGUGGUGAAGGGGUGUGGAAGUGAUUAUGCCGGGAUGAGUAACGAUAAUGCAGGUGAGAAUCCUGCACGCCGUAAGCCUAAGGUUUCCUGGGGAAGGUAAAUCCGCCCAGGGUUAGCCGGCCCCUUAGUCCAGGCCGAAAGGCGUAGACGAUGGGAAGCAGGUUAAUAUUCCUGCGCCGCGUAUGGGGGACGUUGUGUGGAUUGCAGUCGGGGUGUCGGAAAUCCCCGUGCCGCAAGGCCGAGUCCUUAGAUGACGAAGCUGUUUGAAGCAUAACCAAGAAAAGCCCAUACAUUAGCGACCGUACUAAAACUGACACAGGUAGGCGGGGCGAGUAGCCUCAGGCGCUCGGGAGAAUGCUGUUUAAGGAACUCUGCAAAAUGGCCCCGUAACUUCGGGAUAAGGGGUGCCAUCGCGAGAUGGCCACAGUAAAUCGGCUUCAUCGACUGUUUACUAAAAACACAGGACUCUGCGAACUCGCAAGAGGAUGUAUAGAGUCUGACGCCUGCUCGGUGCCGGUAAGUUAAGGAAGGGGGUUAUCCUUCGGGAGAAGCUCACAACCGAAGCUCCGGUAAACGGCGGCCGUAACUAUGACGGUCCUAAGGUAGCGAAAUUCCUUGUCGGGUAAGUUCCGAC
rnacentral:rRNA from 1 species